GUGGUGGGGGUGGGGGUUGUGAUGUGGGGUAUGGGGUACCAAGUGGAAAGUAGGACCCACAAUGGACUGUCUGGUGAGCUAUAGGAGAGGCAUUGCACAUCCUUUGAUGCCCACAUAGUUGCCUCUUUACUCGACCAUUACAAGUUUGGACCACUCCUCAAUCUCCCCUAUAAGAACUCCUCUUUGCUCUCUCCCUUCUCACAUUCAAACUUCAACACAAAAUCUCAAAGCUCUAAACCAAGAAAAGCAAAAGAAAAUCCAAGAAUCUCUUCAAAAGACGCUCAAAUUUUCAUCAUUUCUUGAUUUUUAUCCUCUCAUCACAAUUGAGUUAAAGAUGAAGAUGAGCAGCACAAAUAUGGGAAGUUCGAAGAGGAGAAUUUCAAGCAGAGGAGUUGGAGGAGUACUUAGAGAACAAAGGGCAAAACUUUACAUUAUUAGAAGAUGUGUAGUGAUGCUCCUUUGUUGGCAUGAUUGAAAGAGCAAAAAAUAAAACAAGAAAAAAAGGGAAUUAAUUAAGGGGUUUAACUUUCUCUAUAUUCUUCCCUAUUUUUCUUUUCCCUCUUCUUGGGAGUGUACAUAUCAUGGAGGAUAUUAGCUAAAAGGGGUUUAACAAUUUUGUACUAAUUUAGCUUAUUAAGGUUUCCUGUAUACAUAUCGGAUAGUGUUAAUUAAGGAAAAUGAUUUUGAUUAUAUUGUGUCUAAAUUCUCUUCCUUCCUCUUUUCUUAGAUCAAUGGUACUUCAUGACUUCAACUUUCUUCUGUAUUAAAUUCUAGUAUUCCUAUGUUAAAUUGUGGGGUUUAGUGAUCUAUGAUUUUGUUGAUUCUUUCCCUUUUGAUCACUUAAUCCCUACAAGAAAAAAGGUUCAAAUCACAAUUCAAUUGAUGUGAAGUGUUUGAAAUUCAAAAAAAAUUGCACAAUGAUAUUGAUCUUGGGAGUUUUUUCCUUUUUUUCUGUGUGUUAUGUGUUUCUGCAAUUAGUUGAAAGGAGGAUUAUCAAAUGUAAUUUAGACCCACAUUCCAAAGAAACAUAGUAGGAAAUGUGUAAUUCUUUCCUUGUUUAUUUUCUUCCAUUCUUCUCUUCUUU
rnacentral:lncRNA from 1 species